rnacentral:rRNA from 1 species
AUUGAACGCUGGCGGCAGGCCUAACACAUGCAAGUCGAACGGUAACAGGAAACAGCUUGCUGUUUCGCUGACGAGUGGCGGACGGGUGAGUAAUGUCUGGGAAACUGCCUGAUGGAGGGGGAUAACUACUGGAAACGGUAGCUAAUACCGCAUAACGUCGCAAGACCAAAGAGGGGGACCUUCGGGCCUCUUGCCAUCAGAUGUGCCCAGAUGGGAUUAGCUAGUAGGUGGGGUAACGGCUCACCUAGGCGACGAUCCCUAGCUGGUCUGAGAGGAUGACCAGCCACACUGGAAAUGAGACACGGUCCAGACUCCUACGGGAGGCAGCAGUGGGGAAUAUUGCACAAUGGGCGCAAGCCUGAUGCAGCCAUGCCGCGUGUAUGAAGAAGGCCUUCGGGUUGUAAAGUACUUUCAGCGGGGAGGAAGGGAGUAAAGUUAAUACCUUUGCUCAUUGACGUUACCCGCAGAAGAAGCACCGGCUAACUCCGUG